rnacentral:tRNA from 1 species
GCUCAGAUCGUCUAGUUGGUUAUGACGCCAGGCUUUGAACCUGGAGGCCGGGGUUCGAAUCCCUGUUUGAGCU